AUUGAAGUGCGGUUAACUGUCAUUUCAGGCGCACAGCAAAAUGAUUCGGGUAUACGCACAUCUAUCGUGAUUACUUGAUGAGUACAUCUUUGCCCUCACGGCAAGGCUGGGUCAUUUGAUCCUUGGUAUGAGUCAGUGUGGAUGCAGCGGUGCCCUCACCAGUCAUCAGGCCGUGAGGUACUUCCCUGGAGAUAAAGAGGAGCAGCAGGAGGAAGAGCUGGGGAAGGAGGCCCAUCAGGAGACUGUGUCCUCAGGGAGUCCCGAGAAGGACACAUUCCAGAUGGAGGAUCUGCUCUGUCCACACAGCUGCCGAGUCUUACUUCACAGCUCACCAAACCCUUGGAAUUUCCUGAGUGCUGAGAGUGACAAAUGUUCAUGAGGUGACUUUUGGAUCCCACCUGAUAAUGGGGGUUGGUUGCCAGGGGGACCAACCAAUUGACUAGAGGGGUGGAACUUUCCGUCCUACCCCCCGACCUCCAGGAAGGGAGAAGGGCCUGAAGCUGAGUCAGUCACCGAUGGCCAAUGACUUGAUCAGCUGUGCCUAAGUAAGGAGGUCUCCUUAAAGACCUGAAGGGAUGUGGUUUGGGGGCGCUUCUGAGUAGGCAAACACAUGCAGAUUUGGGGAGAGUGGUGCCUGGGGAGGGCCUGGAAGCGCCUCAUCUCUUCCCACAUAUCUUGUCGGCCCUCAGCUUCUCCUCUGCUGGGCUGUCCCUGAGUCACAUACUUUUGUAAUAAGCAGGUGAUCUAGUGAGGGAAAUGUUUCUCUGAGUUCUGUGAGCCACUCCAGCAAAUUAAUUGCGGUGGGGGCAGGGGGGAGGGGCAGUCUUUACCUGUGGAAUCUGAUGCUAUCUCUGUGCAGACAGGGUCAGAAGUGAACUGAAUUGUAGGCCACCCUGCGGGUUGUUUGUUGCUGUGGGGGACUCUGCCCUAUGUUAGAAUUGGGUCCAGGAAUCUAAUUUAGUGACCAUUGGUAAGCCAAGGAGAGGCUUCAGAAGAAAUCAACAUUUCUGGCACCUUGAUCUCAGGCUUUCGGGCUCCAGAACUGGGAGGAAAUAAUUUUUUUAUUGCUUAAGUCACUCAGGCUGAGGGGAGGCCCACAAAGGAAAAAACGGAGGCCAGUGAGGAACUAAGGCUCUCAGUCCAACAGCCCUAAGGAACUGAAUCCUGCCAACAACCAUGUGAGUGAGUUUGGAUGUGGAGCCUCCCUGAGCUGAGCCUUCAAAUAGGACCUUGACUCUGGCCAAGUUCAGCCUGGAGGGAGACCCCGACAGAGGACAGCAAAGCUGUGUCUAGGUUCCUGACCCGUAGAAACUGUGAUAACAUGUGUUUAAGAUGUCAUUGGAUUCUUGGAAUUUUCAUGAAGUAUGGAUAUUCUACUAUGCAGCCAUGAAGAAGGAUGAUUCUGAAGAUUUUGGAUAAUUUGGAAAACUGUUUAUAAUGUAACACUAAGAAAGAAACCAGAAGUAGGUACUGAUUAUGGAAGUGAGAUUAUGAGAUUAUGACUCAGUAAGAAGGAGAACCCACUGCAGAGGGAAAACUGAGAUAGAAGCAGAAUGGUAGGACCAUGGAGGAUUUUCUCCCUUUUAAUUUUCCAAAAUACUUUUUUUUUCCCCCCAAGCCCACAGCAUGUAGAAGCUCCAGGAAUAGGGAUCGAACCAACACCAUAGCAGCAACCUGAGCCACAGUGGUGACAAAGCCAGAUGCUCAACCCACUGAGCCACCAUGGAACUCC